UAGGGAAUCUUCCACAAUGGACGCAAGUCCGAUGGAGCAACGCCGCGUGAGUGAAGAAGGUUUUCGGACCGUAAAGCUCUGUUGUUGGUGAAGAAGGAUAGAGGUAGUAACUGGCCUUUAUUUGACGGUAAUCAACCAGAAAGUCACGGCUAACUACGUGCCAGCAGCCGCGGUAAUCGUAGGUGGCAAGCGUUGUCCGGAUUUAUUGGGCGUAAAGCGAGCGCAGGCGGAAGAAUAAGUCUGAUGUGAAAGCCCUCGGCUUAACCGAGGAAUUGCAUCGGAAACUGUUUUCUUGAGUGCAGAAGAGGAGAGUAGAACUCCAUGUGUAGCGGUGGAAUGCGUAGAUAUAUGGAAGAAUACCAGUGGCGAAGGCGGCUCUCUGGUCUGCAACUGACGCUGAGGCUCGAAAGCAUGGGUAGCGAACAGGAUUAGAUACCCUGGUAGUCCAUGCCGUAAAACGAUGAGUGCUA
rnacentral:rRNA from 1 species